GACGAACGCUGGCGGCGUGCUUAACACAUGCAAGUCGAGCGGUAAGGCCCUUUCGGGGGUACACGAGCGGCGAACGGGUGAGUAACACGUGGGUGACCUGCCCUCAGCUCUGGGAUAAGCCUGGGAAACCGGGUCUAAUACCGGAUAUGACUCCAUGACGCAUGUUGUGGGGUGGAAAGCCUUGUGCGGCUGAGGAUGGGCCCGCGGCCUAUCAGCUUGUUGGUGGGGUGAUGGCCUACCAAGGCGACGGCGGGUAGCCGGCCUGAGAGGGCGACCGGCCACACUGGGACUGAGACACGGCCCAGACUCCUACGGGAGGCAGCAGUGGGGAAUCUUGCGCAAUGGGCGAAAGCCUGACGCAGCGACGCCGCGUGA
rnacentral:rRNA from 1 species